rnacentral:rRNA from 1 species
GAUGAACGCUAGCUACAGGCUUAACACAUGCAAGUCGAGGGGAAACGACAUCGAAAGCUUGCUUUUGAUGGGCGUCGACCGGCGCACGGGUGAGUAACGCGUAUCCAACCUGCCCAUCACUUGGGGAUAACCUUGCGAAAGUAAGACUAAUACCCAAUGAUAUCUCUAGAAGACAUCUGAAAGAGAUUAAAGAUUUAUCGGUGAUGGAUGGGGAUGCGUCUGAUUAGCUUGUUGGCGGGGUAACGGCCCACCAAGGCAACGAUCAGUAGGGGUUCUGAGAGGCAGGUCCACCAGAUUGGAACUGAGACACGGUCCAAACUCCGACGGGAGGCAGCAGUGAGGAAGAUUAGUCAAUGGGCGAGAGCCUGAACCAGCCAAGUAGCGUGCAGGAAGACGGCCCUAUGGGUUGUAAACUGCUUUUAUAAGGGAAUAAAGUGAGAGUCGUGACUCUUUUUGUAUGUACCUUAUGAAUAAGGACCGGCUAAUUCCGUG